rnacentral:ncRNA from 1 species
CAUAUAUCGAAGAAAAAGAGCUUUAUGUACAAAGUCUAUAGAGAGGAAACGGUUGGUGAAAGUUUCUGAUGAACUACAUAAAGGACGCUUUGGAGAUGCUAGUUAAUCCUAGCCGUUAGCCAACGUUACAGGUCUUGAGUGCAUGUAUCAUUACAUGAACUAAGGUGGUACCGCGUAUAAACGUCCUUAGC